UCUUUAGGGCGGGCUUUGGUUUCCUCGAACAAUGUCUCGCGCUCCUCCAUCGGACGCCGACAAGGGCUCGCCCGGCGACUACGAGCUCGAGGAGGACUCUCUGCAGAAGCUCGUCAACUGCGAGAAUCGCUGCCGCGAACUCCAAGAUCAGAUCUCGUCUCUCGAGCGUGAGGUUCUCUCGUUGGAGGAUCGCCUGGAGAAGCGCCGGUACGGGGCGAGACUGAGCGACGUGGCGUUGGACAAGUGCAUUAGCGCAUGGAACGAUCUGGAGAUGGAGAAAAAAUUCUGGGUUGAUACGUAUGGGAAGUCACCGAGAACUUGGUACAAAGUCGACGAUGAUAUCGAUGCGUUGCGGGCUGAGGUUGGAUCCUUAAAAGAUAGCAGGCAAGCGCUGUGGACCAAUGUGCGACAAAUUCAAGAAGAGGUCAAGAAAUGCAAUGAAGAGAAUCGACGAUUGCUGAAACAGUUGAGCAAGAGGAGAGAUGGCAAAGGAUCAGAGGCCGAACACAACAGCAGUGCUGAUAAAAAAUGGAGCUGGAAUAACCGGAGGCCAGCGUCACCUCACCCUCCACCUCCACCACUUUGUGAUAACGGAGGUAGUGCAGUGUUAGUUUGGCAAGUCCCAUAGUCCCACAUCGAAAAAAUCAGACUUGUUGUCUCAUCUUGAAACUAUAAAUAAGGGCCUGAGCUUUAAUGUUAGACACACCACGAGAAGUACCACAGACACCACAAGAAGAACAGCAGGCAUCACAAGAAAACCUGCUUAUGGUUUGAAGUCUUCUUGUUUAGGAAGCUGAAGGUGUUUUAUGACCUAGGAACAUUUCCUAAAGCAUUUGAUGGUUCACAAUGAAGAAAAAGUGCAUCGCGGAGUCGUCGGCUUCGGUGGUUCUGUAUUUGGAUGGUUGCAAAAGAGACUAAGCCGGUGAGAUUGCCAAAAGGUGCUAUUUGAUUACUGGUUUCUUUGAUGUUCGACUCUUUCUUUCUUAAAUAACAUAUGCAGAAGAAAAACACUAGGAUUCAAAUUGUGGAAUUAUACGUGUAUUACAUGUGUGUGUGUGUGUAUAAUAUAUUUAUAUUACAAUAUGUAGUCAGAGCUACGAAAAGUU